rnacentral:rRNA from 1 species
GACGAACGCUGGCGGCGUGCUUAACACAUGCAAGUCGAACGGUAAGGCCCUUCGGGGUACACGAGUGGCGAACGGGUGAGUAACACGUGGGUGAUCUGCCCUGCACUUUGGGAUAAGCCUGGGAAACUGGGUCUAAUACCGAAUACACCCUGCUGGCUGCAUGGCCUGGUGGGGGAAAGCUUUUGCGGUGUGGGAUGGGCCCGCGGCCUAUCAGCUUGUCGGUGGGGUGAUGGCCUACCAAGGCGACGACGGGUAGCCGGCCUGAGAGGGUGACCGGCCACACUGGGACUGAGAUACGGCCCAGACUCCUACGGGAGGCAGCAGUGGGGAAUAUUGCACAAUGGGCGCAAGCCUGAUGCAGCGACGCCGCGUGGGGGAUGACGGCCUUCGGGUUGUAAACCCCUUUCAGUAGGGACGAAGCGCAAGUGACGGUACCUACAGAAGAAGGACCGGCCAACUACGUGCCAGCCGCCGCCGUAA